CCCAGGACCAUCCAAAUCCUCCAGAACCUUCUCAAAGGUGACCCUCAAACAUCUCCAGGAGGUCCCAGAAGCUCCCAGAAGGUCCCAGGAGCUCCCAGGAGGUCCCAGGAGCUCCCAGAAGCUCCCAGGAGCUCCCAGGACCAUCCAAAUCCUCCAGAACCUUCUCCAAGGUGACCCUCAAACAUCUCCAGGAGCUCCCAGGAGCUCCCAGGAGGUGCCAGGAGGUCCCAGGAGCUCCCAGGAGCUCCCAGGAGCUCCCAAACUCCCCUGGACCUUCU